GAGAGCGCCGAGGGGAACGUGUUGGAACAUCGUUCGGAAAACGUGGGGAACAUUUGUCAGAGAAUUUGUGGCUUUGGAGCUGGUGUGAAGCUAUGAGCGCAUGCUCCAAAUAAACCCCUGCCGGGUCCUGGAAUCCAUAUGGACAUGAGCUCACACCUGAUGAAUUCAAGAGGACAAACUGAGCCAACUGAGCUCUCUGUUCAGCAGCACUGGUGAUAAUCAGCAGCGUAGAACAUAUCUCAGGACCACACUGCCUCAGGAAAGCGGGAUUGUUAAAAUAUGUUCUACUUCCUGUUAUGGACAACAGCUUUCGUAAGCAUCAGUCAUAAACCUGAUCACUGAUACUGAUCACUUUGUCUUUCCAGGUUCUACCAAGAUCACAGGCUGGGAGUAACUUCAGAACAUGCAGCUGGAACUAAGGGAUCUCAGGACCUUCAGUCUGAUGGUGGUAAACUGGGCAGACUGCAGUUCAACCAGCAGCCACCAGGCCUCGUCACGGAUCUUGUCUGGAUGGUGAUGGGUGCAACAGUUGGACUCCUGGGGCUGAACUUCGGCAGCCUGAGUCGCCUCUUUCCCCCUGUUUCCUUUCCUCUGGCGC